CGCGUAGGCGGUCUUAUAAGUCAGAUGUGAAAGCCCACGGCUUAACUGUGGAAGAGCAUUUGAAACUGCAAGACUUGAGUACCAGAGGGGAAAGUGGAAUUCCCGGUGUAGAGGUGAAAUUCGUAGAUAUCGGGAGGAAUACCGGUGGCGAAGGCGACUUUCUGGCUGGAUACUGACGCUGAGGCGCGAAAGCGUGGGGAGCAAACA
rnacentral:rRNA from 1 species